UCCUAGACUCCUACGGGAGGCAGCAGUGGGGAAUAUUGCACAAUGGGGGAAACCCUGAUGCAGCGACGCCGCGUGAGCGAUGAAGUAUUUCGGUAUGUAAAGCUCUAUCAGCAGGGAAGAAAAUGACGGUACCUGAGUAAGAAGCCCCGGCUAACUACGUGCCAGCAGCCGCGGUAAUACGUAGGGGGCAAGCGUUAUCCGGAUUUACUGGGUGUAAAGGGAGCGUAGACGGCAGUGCAAGUCUGGAGUGAAAGGCGGGGGCUCAACCCCCGGACUGCUCUGGAAACUGUACGGCUGGAGUGCAGGAGAGGUAAGUGGAAUUCCUAGUGUAGCGGUGAAAUGCGUAGAUAUUAGGAGGAACACCAGUGGCGAAGGCGGCUUACUGGACUGUAACUGACGUUGAGGCUCGAAAGCGUGGAGAGCAAACAGGAUUAGAUACCCGCGUAC
rnacentral:rRNA from 1 species